UGCCCAUAUCUCAACUUCAUACAUCAUUGCUGGUCUUUACAGCUGUCUUAAAGACCUUACCUUUAACAUUUGCCUUAAUUCUUCAAUCACACAGUACUCCUGGUGCUGCACUUAUUUAUAACAAAGUCCUUCUAUACUAAUCUACAUUUAGGUUGUCCCCAGACACUAUGAAUGCGCUGUCCCAAAAAUAACACCUGACAUGAGAUAAAACUGACCUCUCCCAUAUAUUUCCCAUUGCAAUGGCCACUGAAAGGUGAGGUUACAGUCAGCAAGGGGUUUUUGUGGUGUUCAGGACAGAAGUGUAACUGAGGGUAGCUUGGAGAUCCACCUCAUUAGCUGAUUGAGGACACCUUUGGGUAGUGAGGCCUGAGGAGGCUUCAGAGCUUCCUACAUCCUUUAAUAUAUUUGUACUUUUGCUAUUUCUCCCAAGAAGCAAACUCCAAGAAUCAUUUACAGUUUUAAAAUUAAUACAAUAUUCUUAUUUUCCAGGUAAUGUGAUCCUUCACCUGGAUUUGGUUUUUUUGCCAUUCUCUGCAGAUCCUCUCAAGCUCUAUCAGAUGUGAACCUUGACCUGUAGGACAGCAUAGAUGGCCCUCUGUGCCACUGUGUUAUCUUGUUGUAUGUAAUGAACAGUACACUUACACAUAGGACAUCAUUUUAAAAUGGACUGAAUGCUAAUUUAGGGCCAGAUUCUCUAAUGCACUAAAAGGAUCUCAUCUGGGAGCCACACUUUGUAAACAUCCCUAGCACCCCCUGUGCAGAGAUCUAUUUCAGGGCUAAAAGUCAUGUCCUAAUUUGGCAGGAGAAACAAACAAAACUUGUUUAGUCUUGAACAGAGAGGGCCAGGUGGGACCUAGCCAUGGUCUUCAAAAUUUUCCAAAGCAUCAAUAUAGGAGUUCCAGUGGAAUUCUUUCAAAUUAUGUAAAUGGUUUUAUAGGUGUAUAGGGUCAUUAUAGGAAGAGUUGCAGAGUAUAUUGAAAUUCUUACUUGCAUGUACUAAUUAACAUGCAACACGUCAUCACUAUCUGCUGCCAUGAGUAGUAACUAUUACCACCUUACCUUGAACUUUCUGUCUUCCCUGCCUGAAAAAAUAAAAGUGUACAUUCUUAAAAACAGUAGAAAUAGAAAAACCAUGUAGUCAUGUGCGCAGGGACACUGGUGAAAAGGGAAGAGAAAUGCCUUCAAAACAUAAGUAACUUUUGAUUCAUAUAAUCUGACUGAAAUGCAUGGGAUAAGUUACCAUUAGUGAACAAAUAAAGCUCGAUAGACUGGCCACCUUCAAUUUUUUUGAACGAUUCUUGUGAAUCCCUCAUGUGUCUGUUUUUUAUUAUAUAAAUGAGUAAUGUCUAAUUUUGUUCAUUUGGAUGGCAAAUGAAUGUGUCAUUAAAUAUUUAUAGUAAAUGUUUAAAGGAAAAAGCAAAGUACUUAUGCAUACAGUACAAUUCGGUUGUAGUUAUUUUUUCGAGCUAUGCCGUGUCAGCCUGAAGACAUGAUUUCAGGUUAAUUGGCACCUCUAUAUGAAGUCAUUUAUGGCUGUUUGCUGAACAAUUACUAGUGAUGGAGCUCUGCCAUGUCCAGGGCGGGAUCCUACCUAAAAUUAAUGGGAGGGUUAUGAAGCACUUAUACAGCAGGGAGUCAUUAAUAAAAUAAUUACAUUUUAUUGUUGCAUAAAAAGUCAUUGAGCAAUUCAUCCAUCAUAAUAACCUGUUCAUCUGAUUGAGGAACUGGUCAAAGUAAGAAUCUGUAAUCACAGGAUACACACUGAGAAAAUUUAAAGUCACCACCUUCACCAUGCUAAUGGACUCCCAGGGCCCAAACCCUGCAAGGUGAGAGAAAAACAGUACUCGUGAUGGCUUUGUCGGAGUUAAUAUUUUAAAGAUUUUGUGUUUUGACAGAAUUUUGUUGACACAUCAUUUACAUUUCAGAAAAGGAAAUGCCAACACUUCAUUUUAGAAGCAAGCUAAGUCUGUCAACAUCCAAAUUACCAUCAGUAAAUGGCAGGGAGUUGAAAAGCAAAUGAAAUGAAAGCAAAUGACCUGAAUGGAUUACCCUUUGAUUGUUAAGCAGGGCAAGCUUUCUUUUCUGCAUUCAAACAAAAGCAGUACACAGGAUGACCUGGUGAAAAUAACAUUUUCCUAUAAUAGUACAUUGCACGCUGCUGCAGAUUAUAGAAGAACACUGAAGAUUAUUUUGUGAGUGUCCAGUCUAUUUAAAAGAAAAAAGGGCAGUGGGUAUAGGCGAACAAUAGAAAACUGGCUCUGCUACAGCAGAUGCUGUAAAAAUCAAAAUUAAAAAUCAUUCACGUCAAGUGAUUUCUUUAACGUUUAAAGGUUAAUGGAUUUUUUCUCAGUUUUUUUUUUUUUUUACAAGGUUUCAGAUAAUGGGAGCAUUCAAACAGAAAUGAGGAGUACAUCAGAUCAGUCUACCAGCAGUCCCAAUGACAUUACUUCUGAGUCAUGGUUUCCUGGCCUUGACCCUUCCAAUCUGGCUUCUUCUUAAGCAUCAAAGAAGAAGAAAAACAAAUCUAUUCUAUUCUGAAGCUCGCUUGAUAGACCACAUUAAAAUUCAAGAGCUGUGAAUGAAGGUGACAGAGCAGCUGGAGCGUGGCGAUGCAAGUGACAAUUCUGAGUGACCAAGGGCUAAAUCUUCACCAUGUUAAUAAAUGGUAAUUCUGAAUUGUGCAGCUUGUGAGACAGGCAGGGCACAUCAAGUUACAAGUGGUCACACAUCUGAAGAGGACAAUUUCAGAGAUAUUUUAAAUAGCCAGAAACUUUACUUUUUUUUAUGCUUCUUUUACAUUGUUCAAUUUAUUUUAAAAAAAUAGUUUAGGAUCUGUAAUAAACUGAAAACAGAUGUUGACCUGUUUGUUUUUACAUUCUAACAAAUUGUGACUCCAUUUUGGUAGAAAGUAGUAAAUAGCAUUCUAAAGUUGUAAAAGUGCAGCUUUCACAAUUUCAUUAUCUUGAAUUGCUCUGAUUCAGCAGGAACGAAAACCUGUCUAUCCAUUCAUUUACUAAACCCACUUAUGGCCUUUUUAUAACUUCAUUUUAAUCUUAAUUUAACUUAAUCCUGAU